AGAGUUUGAUCAUGGCUCAGGAUGAACGCUGGCGGCGUGCCUAAUACAUGCAAGUCGAACGGGGAGAUUGUAGCAAUACGAUCUCCUAGUGGCGAACGGGUGAGUAACGCGUUGGUGACCUACCCCGAAGUGUGGGAUAACAGUUCGAAAGGACUGCUAAUACCGCAUGUGGUUGGGAAGAUUAGAAGCUUUCCAACGAAAAGAGCAAUCUGCUUCGGGAGGGGCCUGCGACCCAUCAGCUAGUUGGUAGGGUAAAAGCCUACCAAGGCGACGACGGGUAGGGGACCUGAGAGGGUGACCCCCCACACUGGCACUGAAACACGGGCCAGACACCUACGGGUGGCAGCAGUAGGGAAUAUUGCACAAUGGGCGCAAGCCUGAUGCAGCAACGCCGCGUGCGCGAUGAAGGCCUUCGGGUCGUAAAGCGCUUUUCUGGAGGAAGAGCAAGGACGGUACUCCAGGAAGAAGGAUCGGCUAACUACGUGCCAGCAGCCGCGGUAACACGUAGGAUCCGAGCGUUAUCCGAAUUUACUGGGCGUAAAGCGCGUGCAGGCGGUUUGGUAAGUUGGACGUGAAAUCUCCCGGCUCAACUGGGAGGGGUCGUUCAAGACUGCCAGACUAGAGGGCAGUAGAGGGAGGUGGAAUUCCCGGUGUAGUGGUGAAAUGCGUAGAUAUCGGGAGGAACACCAGUGGCGAAAGCGGCCGCCAGCGUUCGUUCUGA
rnacentral:rRNA from 1 species